rnacentral:rRNA from 2 species
CGACGGCAUCGGCAUCGAUCCGCUCGAGGGCCGGCUGCUCGCGCCGUGCGCGGGCGUCGUGUCGCACGUCGCGCGCACCGGCCACGCGGUGACGAUCGCGGCCGACGGCGGCGCGGAGAUCCUGCUGCACAUCGGCAUCGACACGGUCGAGCUGAACGGGCUCGGCUUCACGGCGAAGAUCGCCGAGGGCGCGCGCGUCGCGGCGGGCGAUCUGCUGAUCGAAUUCGAUCAGGACGCGAUCGCGCGCGCCGCGCACAGCCUCGUAUCGGUGAUCGCGAUCGCGAACUCGGAUGCGUUCGAAGUCGUCGAGCGCGCGGGCGCGGGCGUCGUGAAAGCGGGCGAGACGCCGCUGCUCGCGCUGCGCGCGCGCGGCGCGGAUGCAAGUGCGGAUGCAAGUGCGAGUGCGAGUGCGGGCGCGGCUGCUGACGCGAGCUGCGCGCAGCCCGCCGCCGAAGCGCGCAAGUCGAUCACGCUCACGCAGCCGGGCGGCCUGCACGCGCGGCCGGCCGCGCGCGCGCGCGAGGCGGCGCGCGGGCUCGACGCGCACGUCGACGUGCACUUCGAAGGGCGCAAGGCGGCGCUGCAAAGCGUGGUCGGGCUGCUCGGGCUCGGCGCGGGCGAGCAUGCGACGAUCGAGCUCGUCGCGACGGGCCGCGACGCGGCGAAGGCGCUCGAGCGCGUCGCGCACGAGCUGCUGCGCGAGGCGCACGGCGAGGCCGAAGAGAAGCCGGCGCGCAUCGUGUCGCCCGCGCCCGCCGCCGCGGGCAUCGCGCGCGCGCCGCUCGAGCCGAACACGCUCGCGGGCGUGUGCGCGGCGCCCGGCAUCGCGGUCGGCACGCUCGUGCGCUGGGAUGAUGCGCAGAUCGUGCCGCCCGAGCUCGCGAGCGGCACGCCGGCGGCCGAGAGCCGGCUGCUCGACCGCGCGCUCGCCGAAGUCGACGCGCAACUCGAGACGACGGUGCGCGAAGCGUCGCGGCGCGGCGCGAUCGGCGAAGCGGGCAUCUUCGCCGUGCAUCGCGUGCUGCUCGAAGAUCCGGCGCUCGUCGACGCCGCGCGCGACCUGAUCAGCCUCGGCAAGAGCGCGGGCUACGCGUGGCGCGAGACGAUCCGCGCGCAGACGGCCGUGCUCGCCGACGUCGACGACACGCUCCUCGCCGAGCGCGCGGCCGAUCUGCGCGACAUCGACAAGCGCGUGCUGCGCGCGCUCGGCUAUGCGAGCGCGAGCGCGCGCGAGCUGCCCGCCGAAGCGGUGCUCGCCGCGGAGGAGUUCACGCCGUCCGAUCUCGCGUCGCUCGAUCGCGAGCGCGUCGCGGCGCUCGUGAUGGCGCGCGGCGGCGCAACCUCGCAUGCGGCGAUCAUCGCGCGGCAGUUGGGCAUUCCGGCACUCGUCGCGGUGGGCGAUGCGCUGUACGCGAUUGCGCAGCGCACACAGGUCGUCGUCGACGCGAGCGCCGGCCGCCUC